rnacentral:rRNA from 1 species
UACGAAGGGAGCUAGCGUUGUUCGGAAUCACUGGGCGUAAAGCGCACGUAGGCGGAUUUGCCAGUCAGGGGUGAAAUCCCGGGGCUCAACCUCGGAACUGCCUUUGAUACAGCAAGUCUUGAGUUCGAGAGAGGUGGGUGGAAUUCCUAGUGUAGAGGUGAAAUUCGUAGAUAUUAGGAAGAACACCGGUGGCGAAGGCGGCCCACUGGCUCGAAACUGACGCUGAGGUGCGAAAGCGUGGGGAGCAAACAGG